rnacentral:tRNA from 1 species
GGAGGCGAUCGGGGUCUGGUGGCCCCCCCGGUCUUCAAAACCGCGGGCUCGCCGAAAGCGAGCGGUGGGUUCGAUUCCCAUCCGCCUCCG